UUUCCGUAGGUGAACCUGCGGAAGGAUCAUUCAUAAUAAGUGUUUUAUGGCACUUUUUUAAAUCCAUAUCCACCUUGUGUGCAAUGUCAGGGUUGGUCUCUUUUGAUCAGCGCCAAACAUCAACUAUUAUCUCAACUCUUUGUCUGAAAAAUAUUAUGAAUAAAACAAUUCAAAAUACAACUUUCAACAACGGAUCUCUUGGCUCUC
rnacentral:misc_RNA from 1 species